UUUUGGACAAUGGGCGAAAGCCUGAUCCAGCAAUGCCGCGUGCAGGAAGAAGGCCUUCGGGUUGUAAACUGCUUUUGUACGCAACGAAACGGUCUGCCCUAAUACGGCGGGCUAAUGACGGUACCGUAAGAAUAAGCACCGGCUAACUACGUGCCAGCAGCCGCGGUAAUACGUAGGGUGCGAGCGUUAAUCGGAAUUACUGGGCGUAAAGCGUGCGCAGGCGGUUAUGUAAGACAGUUGUGAAGUCCCCGGGCUCAACCUGGGAAUUGCAUCUGUGACUGCAUAGCUAGAGUACGGUAGAGGGGGAUGGAAUUCCGCGUGUAGCAGUGAAAUGCGUAGAUAUGCGGAGGAACACCGAUGGCGAAGGCAAUCCCCUGGACCUGUACUGACGCUCAUGCACGAAA
rnacentral:rRNA from 1 species